rnacentral:rRNA from 1 species
UACAGAGGGGGCCAGCGUUUAUUCGGAAUUAUUGGGCGUAAAGGGCGCGUAGGCGGGAUGGCAAGUCGGUCGUGAAAUCCUUCGGCCCAACCGAAGAACGUCGGCCGAUACUGCCGUUCUUGAGGGAUGCAGAGGAGACUGGAAUUCCCGGUGUAGCGGUGAAAUGUGUAGAGAUCGGGAGGAACACCGGUGGCGAAGGCGGGUCUCUGGGCAUUUCCUGACGCUGAGGCGCGAAAGCGUGGGGAGCAAACGGG